rnacentral:rRNA from 1 species
UGAGGAAUAUUGGACAAUGGGUGAGAGCCUGAUCCAGCCAUCCCGCGUGAAGGAAUAAGGACCUACGGUUUGUAAACUUCUUUUGUACAGGGAUAAACCUAUCUACGUGUAGAUAGCUGAAGGUACUGUACGAAUAAGCACCGGCUAACUCCGUGCCAGCAGCCGCGGUAAUACGGAGGGUGCAAGCGUUAUCCGGAUUUAUUGGGUUUAAAGGGUCCGUAGGCGGGCCGAUAAGUCAGUGGUGAAAUCCUAUCGCUCAACGAUAGAACUGCCAUUGAUACUGUCGGCCUUGAGUAAAUUUGAGGUAGCUGGAAUAAGUAGUGUAGCGGUGAAAUGCAUAGAUAUUACUUAGAACACCAAUUGCGAAGGCAGGUUACCAAGAUUAAACUGACGCUGAGGGACGAAAGCGUGGGGAGCGAACA